rnacentral:lncRNA from 1 species
CUGCCUUUUAAUUUCAUGCUGUGAACCUUACUCCAUUUGUGAAUGAAUUCUGCCCAAAUACAGCCAAAACAAAAUGCCAGACAGCUCUAUUCGCACCACUGAAAUAAAAGAGAAAGGCUGGUUUUGAGUUUAAGGCACAGGAUUAGGAUCCCAAGCCAGCAAGGAUUAUGCACACAAACAAAGGCUGCAGGAUCUGGCCCAGGAGUCAGGACAUCUGCAUUCUGGGAUAAAGACUUCUUGGAUCCUGCUGCUACCCACAGACUUCUUCACCCAUUUGCAAAUCAAGA